CAAAACUGCAUCUUUGCCGCUUUCCCUGUCAUGAAGAAGUUGCAAAGGCCAAAAUAAUUGGUCAUUCUCAUGCGCAAACAGAAACCAGGCCUUAUGAAAAUGACGUCGUUUUAAGAUGUAUGCACACAAAUUAUUUGGCCCAAAAAUAACGUUCGCAUACAAUACCCUCAUCAGAGCCCAUGCUUCCACUUCUCCUUCCCUCGCCUUUUCCCUCUUCACCAACAUGCACCGGACCGGCGUCUCACCUGAUCACUUCACUUUCCCCUUUGUACUCAAAGCAUAUUCUCGCCUCCAAACGGGUCAUCAAACCUUACAUACGCUUAUUCUAAAGCUGGGUUUCCAUUCUAAUAUCUAUGUCAACAACUCUUUGAUUCAUUCUUACGGCUCUUCUUCGCUACUCUCUCUUGCCUGCAAACUGUUCGACGAAAUGCCUCACAGAGACUUGGUUUCAUGGUCUUCUAUGAUUUCUUGUUUGAACAGCAAUGGAUUUUCGCUGCAAGCUUUAGCUUUGUUCCAACAGAUGCAAAUUGAUGGGAAUGUGAAACCUGAUGAGGUUACUAUGCUUAGCGUUGUCUCCUCUGUUUCGAACUUGGGAGAUUUAGAAUUGGGUAAAUGGGUUGGCGGGUAUGUUAGUAGAAGUGAUAGUUUGGAGCUUACUACAUCGCUGGGUACUGCUUUGAUUGAUAUGUAUUCUAAAUGUGGUUGUGUUGAUGAUUCUAUUAAAGUGUUUGAUAAAAUGCCUGACAGAAAUGUGUUGACUUGGACUGCUUUGAUUAAUGGGCUCGCAGUACAUGGAAGAGGUAAGGAGGCACUCCGGCUAUAUUAUGAGAUGAAAAGGUAUAAUCUGCAGCCUGAUCAUAUUACCUUUACUGGUGUUUUAGUUGCUUGUAGUUAUGCGGGUCUUGUCGACGAUGGCCGGGAAAUUUUUAACACCAUUAAGAAUGAAUACCGUAUUGAACCUACGGUUGAGCAUUAUGGGUGUAUGGUUGAUCUUUUAGGCCGUGCAGGCAAUGUUUUCGAGGCUUUCGAAUUUGUAGAAAGCAUGCCUUGUAAACCAAAUGCAGUUAUUUGGAGGACUCUGCUUGGUGCUUGUGUAAACCAUAACCAUCUUGUAUUGGCAGAGAAAAUAAAGGAGAAGAUCAAUGAGCUAGACCCUUAUCAUGAUGGUGACUAUGUGCUUCUAUCGAAUGCUUACGGUGAAGUUGGUAGAUAUAAUGAGAAGGCUGAGAUUAGAAAAUCGAUGCGAGAGAAGAGGAUUAGCAAGGAACCAGGCUAUAGUUUGCUUGAUCGCUCAGGAAUUUCGCGAGUUUGUAUCGCGAGAUAGUUCACGAUGCAAAUUCGUUGAAUCAAGCUAUUGGGUCAAUUGAAGCUAUUGCCAAGGCAUCGAAAGAGUAUAUCCCGGAGAAUACUGAUCUUUCUGCUGAUAAGGCAGAACUAUUACCAGAUUCGCUAAGCAAAGACUACGCCACUGAAUAGCGUUUCUUCUUCCUCUGAAUGUGGACUGGGACUAUGUUGGGAUUCACAGUUCAAGAUUCGGACACUUUUUGUUUAAGCCAGAGCUUUGACAGGCCAUUAUAGAUUCUGGAUUUGAACAUCCAUCAGAAGGCAAGUUCUUUAUCCAUGUCUUUCAUCUAUAAUUAGUUUUAACUUCAACAUCAGUAUGAUAGUCAUGAUAAUGUAUUGUUUUGUUACUUGGAACAAAUUUUGUUUGUUAGUUGUUAUACAUUAGCAUGCUUUAUGGUUGCCUACUUCAGCAAGGUCUACUGCUGUUGCAUUUGUAUGCAAACAACAACAGUAACAACAACAAAGGACUGAGUUAUUGGAGCCGUGCUCUGCCGCGAAGUUCAAGAAAUAAUCUUCUUUUGUUUCCAGAAGAAUGUUCAUGUGAAAUGAUGAUCACUUUCUAUGCAAUUUAUGUAGUUUGAAUGUUUAGGUUUUGAUUUCUAACUUGACAAAUCCUGUAAACGUAGCAAUUGUUGUGUUACUUGUGUAUUAUUUUAUGAUAGUUAGAGUUUGUUAAGCAA